GGCCAGUCCCAAAGCAGUGGUGGUUACAACUAUAUGAUCACAGCCAGUUACAGAUUUCUUUGUUCCUUCUCCAUUCCCACUGCUUCACUUGACUAUCUUUUA
rnacentral:Y_RNA from 1 species